AGGUUUAACCUAUCACUACAUUAAUCCCCUGAUAGGGAUUAACUGGAUGGUAACUGUAGGUAGAUAGGGUAGAGCUAGAAGAAGUGGGUCCCUGGGGAUAGGCCUUUGGGGUAUGCUUUCUGGUGUGACAUCUUGAGCCUCGUUCCUCCGCCACAUUCUGUUCUGCUUCACCCCAAGCCCUGAGGAAUGGAGCCAGCUGUCUAUCAACUGAGACCUUUGAAACUGUGAGUCCCCAAGUAAACUUUGCCUCCUUUAAAAUUGUUGUUGUCAGGUCUUUUGUUCACAGCAGUGAAAAAUUUAACUAAAACACUAAUCCACAUUUAAAUAUAUGUUUAAUAUGAACAUACACAUUUCACAUGUAUGUAUCUUUUAAUGCAUACCAUUUUGAUUUAAUUAGAAAAUACUACAAGGAGCGGAGAGCUAAUCUUUUUUAAAAAGUGAUCAUUAGUCAGGCAUGGUGGCACACAACUGUAAUCCCAGUGAUUCGGGAGGCUGAGGCAGGAGAAUCACAAGUUCGUUCAAAGCCGCACUUGGCAAAUUAGCGAGGCCCUAAGCAACUUAGUAAGAUCCUGUCUCAAAAAUAAAUAAAUUAAUUAAAAAGGCUGGGGAAGUGACUCAGUGGUUAAGCACCCCUGAGUUCAAUCCCUGGUACAAAUAACAAGAAAAGUAGUGGUUAAGUGCAGCUAGCAUAUCCAAAGCCCUAAGUUCAAUCCCCAGCACCCCCCCACCCCAAAAAAAGAGGGAGAUGAGGUGGUUAGCAGAAGACUUGUGGGGCUCAAAAAGAAUUGUGAUUAAACUAAUACAUAUAUAUAUAUAUAUAUGAAUUUUUAUAUAAAUUGAGAGUUAUAGUGCUAUCACUCUGAUUGUUUUCUUUCUCGGAGCUUUCCCUUCCUCCCACUCAUACCCCAGAAAGGCCCUCUUUGUCUCACCAAGUUGGAAUUAAUUUACACUCGUCUACCUGUAGAAUCUGAAGUAGAUGCUCACUUGCUGAUCCAGACAUUUCUCCCAGUCACUCCAGAAGGGAAGUCAGAGAAGCAGAGUGAGAGAUGAAGUGGGAGUGCAGACUAACAGACACUUUGAACAUAGUAGAACUUCUAGAGAGCAGGAAAGAGCCCAAUUGUCCUGGUCAUGCACUUCCUACCAUCUGUCUGUCACCUGUGGACAAUGUGCCAGUUAACAGUUCUGCACACUUUUAAGUUCCACUCAAGAAAAGGUAGGAAACUUGGAUACCCAGGUGGGUUUGGGAAUCACAAAGAGGUACUCUUGCCCCUGACCUGGAUGAAACUGAACUGAAACUCCUUGUUCAUGUGUGAGAUUCCUGUAUAAACAGACAAAGCUCCUCUGUCACUACUACAGAAGAAAG
rnacentral:lncRNA from 1 species